rnacentral:tRNA from 1 species
GCGCCCGUAGCUCAGCUGGAUAGAGCGUUGCCCUCCGAAGGCAGAGGUCAGAGGUUCGAAUCCUCUCGGGCGCG